rnacentral:rRNA from 1 species
CACCAAGGUGGUGAAGCAAUUGAUGCCCCGCUUCCAGGAAAAGCCUCUAAGCUUCAGGUUACCAACAAUCGUACCCCAAACCGACACAGGUGGUCAGGUAGAGAAUACUCAGGCGCUUGAGAGAACUCGGGUGAAGGAACUAGGCAAAAUGGUGCCGUAACUUCGGGAGAAGGCACGCUGGCGGUAGGUAAAGUCCCUCGCGGACAGAGCUGAAGCCAGUCGAAGAUACCAGCUGGCUGCAACUGUUUAUUAAAAACACAGCACUGUGCAAACACGAAAGUGGACGUAUACGGUGUGACGCCUGCCCGGUGCUGGAAGGUUAAUUGAUGGGGUUAGCGCAAGCGAAGCUCCUGAUCGAAGCCCCAGUAAACGGCGGCCGUAACUAUAACGGUCCUAAGGUAGCGAAAUUCCUUGUCGGGUAAGUUCCGACCUGCACGAAUGGCGUAAUGAUGGCCAGGCUGUCUCCACCCGAGACUCAGUGAAAUUGAACUCGCUGUGAAGAUGCAGUGUACCCGCGGCAAGACGGAAAGACCCCGUGAACCUUUACUAUAGCUUGACACUGAACAUUGAGCCUUGAUGUGUAGGAUAGGUGGGAGGCUUUGAAGUGUGGACGCCAGUCUGCAUGGAGCCAACCUUGAAAUACCACCCUUUAACGUUUGAUGUUCUAACCUAGGCCCAUAAACUGGGUCGGGGACCGUGUCUGGUGGGUAGUUUGACUGGGGCGGUCUCCUCCUAAAGAGUAACGGAGGAGCACGAAGGUUGGCUAAGCAUGGUCGGACAUCAUGCGGUUAGUGCAAAGGCAUAAGCCAGCUUGACUGCGAGAGUGACGGCUCGAGCAGGUACGAAAGUAGGUCUUAGUGAUCCGGUGGUUCUGAAUGGAAGGGCCAUCGCUCAACGGAUAAAAGGUACUCCGGGGAUAACAGGCUGAUACCGCCCAAGAGUUCAUAUCGACGGCGGUGUUUGGCACCUCGAUGUCGGCUCAUCACAUCCUGGGGCUGAAGUAGGUCCCAAGGGUAUGGCUGUUCGCCAUUUAAAGUGGUACGCGAGCUGGGUUUAGAACGUCGUGAGACAGUUCGGUCCCUAUCUGCCGUGGGCGUUGGAAGAUUGAGAGGGGUUGCUCCUAGUACGAGAGGACCGGAGUGAACGCACCACUGGUGUUCGGGUUGUCAUGCCAAUGGCAUUGCCCGGUAGCUAAGUGCGGAAGAGAUAACCGCUGAAAGCAUCUAAGCGGGAAACUUGCCUCGAGAUGAGUCUUCCCUGUCGCUUUAAGCGACCUAAAGGAACGUUUAAGACUAAGACGUUGAUAGGCUGGGUGUGUAAGCGUAGCGAUACGUUGAGCUAACCAGUACUAAUGAACCGUGAG